rnacentral:rRNA from 1 species
CCUACGGGAGGCAGCAGUGGGGAAUAUUGGACAAUGGGGGCAACCCUGAUCCAGCAAUGCCGCGUGUGUGAUGAAGGCCCUAGGGUUGUAAAGCACUUUCACUGGUGAAGAUGAUGACGGUAACCAGAGAAGAAGCCCCGGCUAACUUCGUGCCAGCAGCCGCGGUAAUACGAAGGGGGCGAGCGUUGUUCGGAAUUACUGGGCGUAAAGGGCGCGUAGGCGGCUCUUUAAGUUAGGCGUGAAAGCCCCGGGCUCAACCUGGGAACUGCGCUUAAGACUGGAGAGCUAGAAAACGGAAGAGGGUAGUGGAAUUCCCAGUGUAGAGGUGAAAUUCGUAGAUAUUGGGGAGAACACCAGUGGCGAAAGCGGCUACCUGGUCCGGAUUUGACGCUGAGGCGCGAAAGCGUGGGGAGCAAACAGGAUUAGAUACCCUGGUAGUCCACGCCGUAAACGAUGUCUGCUAGAUUUCGGGGGGUUGCCCCUCGGUGUCGCCGCUAACGCAUUAAGCAGACCGCCUGGGAAGUACGGUCGCAAGAUUAAAACUCAAAUGAAUUGACGG